rnacentral:rRNA from 1 species
UGAGGAAUUUUGCGCAAUGGACGAAAGUCUGACGCAGCAACGCCGCGUGAAGGAAGAAGGUCUUUGGAUCGUAAACUUCUGUUGAAUGGAAAGAAAGAAUCUUAGUUAAAAGCUGAGCUUUUAUGACGUUACUGUUCUAGAAAGCCCUGGCUAACUUCGUGCCAGCAGCCGCGGUAAUACGAAGGGGGCAAGCGUUAUUCGGAUUGAUUGGGCGUAAAGGGCGCGUAGGCGGCGCAAAAAGUUUAUUGUUUAAUUUCCCGGCCUAACUGGGAGCAUGCAAUAAAUACUUUUGUGCUAGAGGUUGAUAGAGGGAAGCGGAAUUCUCGGAGUAGCGGUUAAAUGCGUGGAUCUCGAGAGGAACGCCGGUGGCGAAAGCGGCUUCCUGGAUCAAUUCUGACGCUGAGGCGCGAAGGCAUGGGGAGCAAACAGG